CUGUGGAUAGGGGUGAAAGGCCAAUCAAACUUCGUGAUAGCUGGUUCUCUCCGAAAUGCAUUUAGGUGCAGCGUUACGUGUUGCUUUGUGGUGGUAGAGCUACUGGUUGACUGAUGGGCCCUACAAGGUUACUGACGUCAGCCAAACUCCGAAUGCCGGCAAGUGAGAGCAUGGCAGUGAGACUGCGGGGGAUAAGCUUCGUAGUCGAGAGGGAAACAGCCCAGAUCACCAGCUAAGGUCCCUAAGCGUGUGCUAAGUGGGAAAGGAUGUGGAGUUGCACAGACAACCAGGAGGUUGGCUUAGAAGCAGCCACCCUUGAAAGAGUGCGUAAUAGCUCACUGGUCAAGUGAUUCCGCGCCGACAAUGUAGCGGGGCUCAAGUAUACCGCCGAAGCUGUGGCAUUCACAUAUCAGCUCAGCGCGCCUUCGGGUGUGUUCAGGCGUGUGGAUGGGUAGGGGAGCGUCGUGUGGCGAUGGAAGCGGCGGAGUGAUCCAGCCGUGGACGCCACACGAGUGAGAAUGCAGGCAUGAGUAGCGAAUGACGGGUGAGAAACCCGUCCGCCGGAUGACUAAGGGUUCCAGGGUCAAGCUAAUCUGCCCUGGGUAAGUCGGGACCUAAGGCGAGGCCGACAGGCGUAGUCGAUGGACAACGGGUUGAUAUUCCCGUACCCGCGAAAGAGCGUCCAUGCUGAACCCAGCGAUGCUAACCAUCUGAAGCUCCGUGAUGGCUGCCCUUCGGGGUGGUCACGUGUGGGUGGAACGUGGGACCCGGACUGGUAGUAGGCAAGCGAUGGGGUGACGCAGGAAGGUAGUCCUACCGGUGAGUGGUAGUACCGGUGCAAGGGUGUGGCCCGUUCGAUAGGUAAAUCCGUCGAACACAUAGGGUGAGGCCUGACGCAUAGCCGAAUGAGGCGAAUGGGAUGAUCCUAUGCUGCCGAGAAAAGCCUCUAGCGAGCUCUGAGCGGCCCGUACCCCAAACCAACUCAGGUGGUCAGGUAGAGAAUACCAAGGCGAUCGAGAGAAUCGUGGUUAAGGAACUCGGCAAAAUGCCCCCGUAACUUCGGGAGAAGGGG
rnacentral:rRNA from 14 species